UACGUAGGGUGCAGGCGUUUAAUCGGAAUUACUGGGCGUAAAGCGUGCGCAGGCGGUCUUUUAAGUCAGAUGUGAAAUCCCCGGGCUUAACCUGGGAACUGCGUUUGAAACUGGAAGGCUAGAGUGUGGCAGAGGGGGGGUGGAAUUCCACGUGUAGCAGUGAAAUGCGUAGAUAUGUGGAGGAACACCGAUGGCGAAGGCAGCCCCCUGGGCUAACACUGACGCUCAUGCACGAAAGCGUGGGGAGCAAACAGG
rnacentral:rRNA from 1 species